rnacentral:lncRNA from 1 species
GGUAAGUUCUGAAGAAACUGAAACGCAGACAGGACAGGGCCUGCCCUGCCCGGAGCGAGAAACAACUCAGUGGCUUCUGCCCUGACUCCCCCACAUUGCAGCUCCCGGUUUCCCUGCUCUCCUGCUCUGCUGCUGGCAUCCCAGUGCAGACCUGCUCUGAGCGCUUUGGCUGAUACUCUGUUUCAGGGGCUGGCUGAACUUUGCUUUCUCUAAGGUACCACUUAACAGUGGCUGUCUCUUCCUCUGAGCUCUGUUAAUGAUGUUUCUUCCCACAUGAGUUUUGCCUGAGCUUUAAUCAGCCACUUGUCAGCGACUGUCUCCCUACCUGUAGCAUGCUUUAACAGAAGGAGUCGGCUUCACACCCCUGUCUGUCUCUUGAGAGUAGAUUUCAUAGUGAGCAACUUGGACAUACUUGUCGGAGGAAAGAAACUUUGGAAACAACGUUUCCAGAUGAAUAUUUUGAGACAUAAGAAAUAGUAUUUGGUUUGUUUCUGAUUCCCUCCAAAGGACAGUUUCAAAAGUCUUGACUUCCAUUUCUGGUACCAGGGAGUUAGGCAGACUCCUGACAAUCUGCCGCUCCAUUGCUUGUAGCAAAGCUUUGUACAGUAGCUUCUCUUUUAUAGCUCACUCCUUGUAAAUCAUGUUCAAGUGGCUGGGUGAAGGUUAGUGGGUGCUUUGCCCAGAACUGUUCUGCAUACCGUAAGUGAUUUUCAGUUUGGUAUGCCUGCUCUAUGAAUCUUGCAGAAUUUAAUCCAGUACCGUCUUUAGUCUGUUGCAUUUACAAGGACGACUGUCUGAGCAUUGUAUUUGUUACUGCAGUCAGGUCAGCAUCCCUCAGUAUAACUUUAAAUGGAAAUAGCAUCAACUCACCAGUUAGAAGAUGAAGACUAACUGGAUUAGAAAAUAAGAGCCAACUACCUGUUGCCUUAGACACACUUGACUGGCAAAGAUAUCAGGAAACUAAGUCAAAGGAUAAAAGUCAACUUAUCCAGAAAAUGGAGGUUGGACAGAAGCUGGCAUAGCUCAUCUCAUACCAGAACUAGUCAGAAGAGAGAAACUGCUUCUGAUAGAACAGUUGUCAAUACUGAUGUGCCUCCCAAUUUCUUGAAACAAAUAGGAAAGGCUCUGUUGCAGUAAUGACAGGAGACUUUAAUACUCCAGUCUUACUUUCAUACAGGUCUUCAAAACUCAGUCAACAAGCGGAGUUAAAUCAUAUCAUAGGGCAGUUGGAAUUAGCAGGUGUUUACAGAACGGUCUGUCCAGCAGAUAAGAAGCCAUGUUCUUCUCAGAGCCCCAUGGAGCUGCCCAUCAAACUUGUGAGGUGGACAGCAGCAGUACUUCUCACCCUGUUCACAGGAUAGGGAGUGGAAGCACUCGUUCUGUAAAGCUGGUUUCACCCUGAUAUCAGCCCCACACAGGGGCAGAACAAAGAGAAAAACUGCAGGUCAUUUAAGCUGAUGAACGAAAAUGUAAAAAUUGUCAAAACAUUUGCAACUGAAUUCAAGAACACUU